rnacentral:lncRNA from 1 species
CUAAAUAAAAAAAAACAAAAAAAAACAAAAACAACAACAACGAAUUGCUUCAUCAUCCUCCUCUCUCCCAAUCUCACUUUCACGAAAUCAAAACUCACAAUCUCCGUUUUUCUCUCUCGCUUCCCUCUACGAAUCUCACACCAAAUCCCUCUCACAACUCGUCUCUCUCCCAAUCGCGUGAAACUUUGAAAGAAAGCUCACCUUUGUGGUGAAUCAGUAGCUCAGGUAACGACCGAAUCUCCUUCCUUCGCCUCUUUCA